UACGUAGGUGGCAAGCGUUGUCCGGAUUUAUUGGGUUUAAAGGGUGCGUAGGCGGUUCCAUAAGUCAGUGGUGAAAUACGGCAGCUCAACUGUCGAGGUGCCAUUGAUACUGCGGAACUUGAGUACUGAUGAGGUAGGCGGAAUUGACGGUGUAGCGGUGAAAUGCUUAGAUAUCGUCAAGAACACCGGUAGCGAAGGCAGCUUACCAAGCAGUAACUGACGCUGAGGCACGAAAGUGCGGGGAUCAAACAGG
rnacentral:rRNA from 1 species